rnacentral:rRNA from 1 species
AGCUCCAAUAGCGUAUACUAAAGUUGUUGCGGUUAAAAAGCUCGUAGUUGGAUCUUGGAGUGUGACUGCGAGGUCGCUCUAUCGAGUGAACUUUGUGGCGCAUUCUUCUAUUUGGUCGGCGUGUUUGUGCUCUUAAUUGAGUGCAACAUUCUACCAGAAAUUUUACCUUGAAAAAAUUAGAGUGUUCAAAGCAGACCUUUUUGUGUCUGAAUAUUCGUGCAUGGAAUAAUAAAAUAUGAAUUCGGUUCUAUUUUAUUGGUUUUCGGAACUCGAGUUAAUGAUUAAGAGGGACAGACGGGGGCAUCCGUACUCUGCCGUUAGAGGUGAAAUUCUUGGAUCGGCGGAAGACGCGCAACUGCGAAAGCAUUUGCCAAGAAUGUUUUCU